rnacentral:rRNA from 1 species
UACGAAGGGGGCGAGCGUUGUUCGGAAUCACUGGGCGUAAAGGGCGCGUAGGCGGCCCUCAUUGUCGCGUGUGAAAUCCCUCGGCUCAACUGAGGACGUGCGGAAGAAACUGCAGGGCUGGAGUCCGAGAGAGGUGAGUGGAAUACCCAGUGUAGAGGUGAAAUUCGUAGAUAUUGGGUGGAACACCGGUGGCGAAAGCGGCUCACUGGCUCGGUUCUGACGCUGAGGCGCGAAAGCGUGGGGAGCAAACAGG